UACAGAGGAUGCAAGCGUUAUCCGGAAUGAUUGGGCGUAAAGCGUCUGUAGGUGGCUUUUUAAGUCCGCCGUCAAAUCCCAGGGCUCAACUCUGGACAGGCGGUGGAAACUACCAAGCUGGAGUACGGUAGGGGCAGAGGGAAUUCCUGGUGUAGCGGUGAAAUGCGCAGAUAUCAGGAGGAACACCAAUGGCGAAGGCAGCUCGCUGGGACGGUACUGACGCUGAGACGCGAAAGCGUGGGGAGCAAACAGG
rnacentral:rRNA from 1 species